rnacentral:rRNA from 1 species
CUCUAAAAAACAAUACUCAGUUCAGAUUGCAGGCUGCAACUCGCCUGCAUGAAGUCGGAAUUGCUAGUAAUCGUAGGUCAGCAUACUACGGUGAAUACGUUCCCGGGCCUUGUACACACCGCCCGUCAAACCAUGAGAGUUGGCAACACCCGAAGUCGGUAGUCUAACCGCAAGGAGGACGCCGCCGAAGGUGGGGUUGAUGAUUAGGGUUAAGUCGUAACAAGGUAAC